rnacentral:lncRNA from 1 species
AAUUUGCCUGAGAUAAUACAAGAGUGCACACGCUGAAAUGUCUGGCCUUCUAUAUUAAUCAUUGAUAUUAUGUUGAUAGUCCUAAGUAUAAAGCUAAGCUUUAAUACAACUGUCACAUAAACUUAACAUUAACCAAGAUAACUAAACAAAGACCAAUGAACCUUGAAAAUUAGGUCAAGGUCAGAUGAACCAUGCCAGGCAGCCAUGUACAGCUAACAAUGCUUCUAUACAACAUAUAUAGUUGACCUAUUACUUAUAGUUUAAGAAAAAUAGACCAAAACACAACCAGGUGCUCCACAGGGCGCAGCUUUAUACGACCGCAGAGGUCGAACCCUGAACAGUUGGGGCAAGUAUGGACAAAACAUUCAAGCGUGAU